UGAAAUUGCAUGCACUUGACAAAUAAGGAAGUGUUUUGUGCUAAAUUCAGCUUUUAUUCUAAGGUCACAGAAUGCUCCUUUUAAUUCUGACAUUUAAAAAAAUUGUGUGUGUGUGUGUGUGUGUGUGUGUGUGUGUGGAACAAGCAGCUAAGCUUCAA